rnacentral:tRNA from 1 species
GCCUCCGUGGUCUAGUGGUAUGACACUCGCCUUGACAGCGAGAGGUCGCAGGUUCGAUUCCCGCCGGAGGCA